GUGUUCUUAAAAAAGAAAAAAAUGUAUAUUUCUGUAGCCCUAUUUUUUAUGGAUGAUGAGGAGGAGGUUCAAAUUGUGCCACGGAGGCAUUUAAGAGAUGCUUCGAAUUUAUUUGAAGUACCUAACAACCAGUUUGGGUCUUCCAGUGGUCUUCAUGGGAUUGCCUGCUGCUUCCAAAAAUUGGCACUCCUCUGCCGAACUUAGGAUUCUCCCCCAUAUACUCAACUAGUGCCCGCAGCUGUGUAGUUUUUUCGUGCUGGAAUUGAGAAAAUAAAAAAAUGUAUAUUUGUUGUUCACAGAUUAAAUUGCAUUUAUUAUUUUUACUUA